rnacentral:lncRNA from 1 species
GUUUUCCCUGUUCAGUUCCAAGUCUUUCACGACCUAUCGAAACAAAUUACAAUCACCAACUUCAUCCACUCCUUUCCACUUGAGGACAGAAGAAAGAGCUGCACAAAGGAAGCAGGCGAGUAUAAUUUUUAGAUUUAUAGUAGGAUUUUUAUGUGGGUUAUCUCCCUUUGCAUUAUGAAAACUCCAAUGUUCUCAUAUAUCUUGUACUUCUGCAAAUAUUUUCAGAAGCUUGAAGAGAAAUUCACUGCCAAGGAGGUAAAGAAAGUCCAACCACAAACGACAUUAAAGGUUUGACACCAAAGCUUACCCUAUGGCAUGCAUAAUGUUUGUCUGUACCAUGAAUUCUGCACCUCCUAUUUUCUGAACAACGAAAACAAAGAAAAGUAGUGUGUGAACUUUGACCCAACUUUACUUAGGAAUUUGAUCAUAAUAUAAGUUCAAAAUCUUUUUGGGUAUACUAUGCAGAAUUAAAGUGGUUAAGCUCAAGAUUUUAGGGUAAGGAUUUAAUAAUUCCUUUUCAGUUUUUUAAUAUUGGAUUAAUAUUUUUUUUAAUAUUACAUGAAAAAUUAUUGAAAGAAUAAUUAUUUAAUACUACUAAGAAAAGACUGUCAGCUAAUCCAAACAAUUGUAUCUUGUCCUAUAAAAAAAGAAAAGUGCCUUGCCUUUGCCAAGUUAAGCAUACUUUGCUGCAAAAUUCUUUCUUAUGAAAAGUUCUGUUUAAAGCUUUUGAAUGCUGUAAGGGGUGUGAUUGUCUUUGUACUAAUGCAAUCGGUUUGGUUGUAUCCAAGAAAGGAGUAAAGAUUUUGGAGGAGUUGGGUUGAGAAGGGGUUACUUCCACCCUGAACAUUUCGGUAGAAAUCGUUACAGAGCCACUUCUGGUCUUUUCACUUGUAGUCAAUUUGGGAGUUGACAUUUCCUAUUCUUUUACUCCAUUUUUUUCUUAUGAUUUCUAAUAAUCACAAGGAAAGGUUGCUGUAUAGUGUAGAAAAAUUAAAGUUUCUAACAUUAGUUAUACAUAUGCACAUGCUUAGCAUCAUCUUUUCUAUUCUUCGCUUUGGAGUCAAAUAUUGGAAUAAGAUGUUUAAGUGGAAGAAAACUACUAUCUUUAUAUACACAUGAUUCAGAUUCUCUAUAAAACAUAUGAUUCAGAUUCUGUAUAAAACACAUCUAAACCAUCUUUAGCAUCUGUUACUCAUGCUAAUGGCUUGCAAAUGCAAUUUGGAUUUGGUACUUCUUUUUUCCCCCCUGAAAAUGCUUAAUGGAAAGAGACAAAGUUACACACCUUUAAUCCGCUCUUUUCAUAUUCUGCAGUACUUUCUCUUAACAAAAUUUUUAACAUUGGAAUUGUUGGGAAAAAAAGGAAUGACCCUUUCCCGUAAACCCCGAGAUCUCCGCCCCUUUUGUAAAGAGAAAAAUUGAGAAAUAAAACAACACAAGAAUUUAACGUGGAAACCCAAANN